UUUUGCUAUAUGUAUACAAUGUGGAAUGAAUAAAUCAAGCUAACACAUAUAUCGCCUCGCUUACCUUUGAUUUUUUUAUGAUGAGACAUUUGAAAUUUACUCUCAGUUAUUUUGAAAUAUAUAGUACACUAUUAUUGACUACAGUACUCUGCUGUGAAAUGUAUCUCAAAAUCUGUUUCACCUGUCUGAAAUAUUAUGCCCUUUUAUCAACAACUCUCCUUUUCCUCUCUCUCUAAUCCCCCAGCCUCUGGUAAACAUCAUUCUACUUUUUACUUCUAUGAGUUUAACUUUAUUAGAUUCCACAAAUAAAUGAGAUUCUGCAAUAUUUCUUUCUGUUCUUAUAUCUCUUAGCAUAAUGUCCUCUAGAUUCUUUCAUUUCAUCACAAAUGAUAGAAUUUUUCUAUUUCUUAAGGCUGAAGAGUAUCUCAUCAUGUAUAAUGUAUCACAUUUUUAAUCCAUUUAUUCAUUGAUGGACAUAUAGGUUGAUUCUAUAUUUUGAGUCAUGUGAAUAGUGCUGUAAUGGACAUAGGAGUGCAGAUAUACCUUCAACGUAAUAUUUCAGUUCCUUUGAAUGUAUGUCCAAAAGUGAGAUAACUGGAUUAUAGGGUACUUCAGUUUUCACUUUUUUGACGAGUCUUCAUACCAUUUUCCAUAAUGAC
rnacentral:lncRNA from 10 species